UCAAAAAAAUGAGUUGCCGCAAGUCGCACCUUGCCCUCACAGAUGAGUCAGGCAAGUCCAUGUCCAUGAAGCGGCGACGCUGUGCCUGAAGCAACGUCAGCAGGGGUUCAAUAAAUAAAUGCUUGAUCUAACCGUGUAAUAAAUUAGAGCAAUGGAACUGAAGUGCGGCGGCUACAGCAUGAAGGUUUUGCAACGAACAGUACCUUGCAAACGUUUGCAGGGUCCACAGCAGCUUCUCAGGGCGCCGCGCAGCUGUUCAGGCUUCCUCAUUUGCUGGUCCUAUGUAGGAAACUAGCAGCUUUUACGGACGCACCAGAGCUGGAACAGGCCGAAAAGAAGGGCUCAAACGUUGGGUGAAAGCCUGUGAUCAAAUAUCGGACGUUGUGCACAUUUGCUAAUGGAGCUGGAAGUGCUAUGGGAGGUGCCUUUUGUCAGAGGCCAGCUAAAUUGUACGGCGCAACAGCUGCAAAUCCAAGUGUGUUGGUAAGGUGCAGUUCGGCGAACUCACUUUGUCGACAGUUAGCCUAUUUAACUUUUAUAUUAUAGCUGUAUGUCACUGCAUUAUCACGUUCACCUCCGUUCCUCUGCACCUGGUUACGUCCUCCCCGGAAGCAAGAUCCCUAAGUGCAAGCCCUUGCAAACAACAGGUCCAGUUAUCAUGAAGGCCGUUGCUUCAUUUUUGCUUGUGUGGCAUAGCGGGCGAUUGACGUAAUCUGCCCAUGGCGGAAGUGCCAAGAGCUAUUGAUACAGCGUUAUGGUUCUUGAAGUUCUUCUUAGAGUAUCUAAGGUGCUUUAAGUCACGUUUGCUUACAAAAGGAACUGCGGCCCGAACAAGGGCGCCAUGGAACUAUCAUGGGGAGCUUUCCUUUGACAGGGCUAAGCCAUCCGUAGCUUCUUCUUUCGAGGUCAUCCAUCGAUGCACCAUCAUUGUCACCCAGCACUGCUGUGAGCAGCGAGAUCGUGCACCGCCCAGCUCCCUAUCACCCUAUAUCCCUCCCGUUCACCCUCGCCCGUCAGCCCCUUCCCGCCACAUUUCCGUUCCCUAUCACUUGUUGCCAUCCAUCCCUUGCUCCAACAAGUUCAUGAUCAGCUCCAUCACUGUGCUGUCAUCCCAACACCAAGUGACAAUAUGUAAUCAGCAGCUGCCUCCAUGGUGGCGACCGAGCUGCGGUAGCCUGAUAGUGGUCCACAGGGUGGCUGCAAGACAGACGGUCCGACACAUCCAAGUGCAAGAGAGUGUAUGUUGUUACAGGGUGGUUAACUUCGCCAGCGGCCCCCUUUCCCGGGGCAGUCCCUGCUCUCCCCUGCUAGAGGGGCACCCUAAUCCGUCACCCCAUCCGACUUCAGAAUGUAUUCGUUGGGUUCGGCAACUCACCACCAGCAUCCAACCAAAUCUAGCGGGUCAACGGCGCAUCAACUUAGUUCCUGGUCAGCUCGCAAGUUGAUAU
rnacentral:lncRNA from 1 species